rnacentral:rRNA from 1 species
UGCCAGCCGCCGCGGUAAUACGGAGGAUUCAAGCGUUAUCCGGAAUUAUUGGGUUUAAAGGGUGCGUAGGCGGUUUGAUAAGUUAGAGGUGAAAUAUUAGGGCUUAACCCUGAAACUGCCUCUGAUACUGUCGAGCUAGAGAGUAGUUGCGGUAGGCGGAAUGUAUGGUGUAGCGGUGAAAUGCUUAGAGAUCAUACAGAACACCGAUUGCGAAGGCAGCUUACCAAACUAUAUCUGACGUUGAGGCACGAAAGCGUGGGUAGCAAACAGGAUUAGAUA